rnacentral:rRNA from 1 species
UCCUUUUCCUCUCAUGAGGAAAAGCUGAAAGUCGGUUUCGGCUGACACUUACAGAUGGGCCCGCGGCGCAUUAGCUAGUUGGUGAGGUAACGGCUCACCAAGGCGACGAUGCGUAGCCGACCUGAGAGGGUGAUCGGCCACACUGGGACUGAGACACGGCCCAGACUCCUACGGGAGGCAGCAGUAGGGAAUCUUCCACAAUGGACGAAAGUCUGAUGGAGCAACGCCGCGUGAGCGAUGAAGGCCUUCGGGUCGUAAAGCUCUGUUGUUAGGGAAGAACAAGUACCGGAGUAACUGCCGGUACCUUGACGGUACCUAACCAGAAAGCCACGGCUAACUACGUGCCAGCAGCCGCGGUAAUACGUACGUGGCAAGCGUUGUCCGGAAUUAUUGGCGUAAAGCGCGCGCAGGCGGUCCUUUAAGUCUGAUGUGAAGCCCACGGCUCAACCCGUGGAGGGUCAUUGGAAACUGGGGGACUUGAGUGCAGAAGAGGAAAGCGAAUUCCACGUGUAGCGUGAAAUGCGUAGAGAUUGUGAGACACAGUGGCGAAGCGCUUUCUUGGUCUGUACUGACCGCU